GUCUUUUGUUGUUGUUCUCCGGAGAGAGGAGACACAGAGCAACAAUGCUGUAAGCAGCUUUAAACCAGCAUUUCUGUGGCACGUAGGAGCAAUGCUUACUUGAGAGAAGCCACCUGCCGCCUUGAUGCCAGCAAUCUCCAGAGUCGUGAACAAAACCCAGAUCUCCAUUGCUCUGUCCAGUUACUGAACUGCUCAUGCGUGCUAAGUGGGGCAAGAAGAGGAUUCUGCCACAGAUGUUUCUCUGCUUCCAUUCAUUCCUUUCAGGAAGGGGGCUGUCAUUCUUUUACACUCAGGGGAAUUCACUCUCCAUGCAUGUGCGACCUGAACAUCCUGUACACUGCCCCACCAAUGGGACCCAAGCCAGGCCUGCCAGUUACCACCCAUAGCCAUUGAAUUCCAGGGGAAUGAAGUGUUGUAUCUCAAGGAUCCAGAGAGGGGAGAGGUCUGAGCCAGAGUCUUCUGUGAGGAUACAGCAUUCCAUGGCCCAGGAAGUUCUCUCUAUCUCGUGCUCCCCUCCUAAGCCAGUAGGAAACGUACUGCUCCCCUCCCAUCCACGCCAACUCUCAUAGACAGUUCGCAGACUCCCCAAGGGCUGAAAUUUGUUCACUCACAUUAUUUAGUGAACUCUUAUUUUUACCGAGUUAUUUCUUUAGCUUUAAACACCCCGGAAGGAAGACUCUAAGUGCCCUUGACACCAGUUAACACUGUAAUCUAUAGUGAUAAACCCAUCACACAACAAAAGAGCUGUAAAUCCCUCCAGCAAACAGCCACCAUCAGCAAAAAUUAAUUAAAAAGCAGAACUUCCUGGUCCCUCAGGUCUCCAACAGAAAGCAUCACCCCUCCCUGCAUGGCCACAGCCUCCUCCCCCUGCCACCCCCAAAUGCCUGUUCUCACAAACACCAUCGAAGAGAACAACUAUAGUUUUGCAAAUGAUUCACAAUGAGACCAAAGAGAUAAUACUGAGAUUUGCAAAGCUGCUGCCCAGGGGAAUUGGGCACCCAAAUGCCAUCAAGAUUAAUGGGACUCUAACUGGGUAUCCAAAUCCCCUAGCCGGCUUUGAAAAUAGCAGCAUUGUUUGUGACAGCUCAUUUGGCCAGCCAUGUUCCUGGCCCCCGUCCAAGCAUCUCAGCGCACAGCCUCUGUAAGUGUCUGUGGCAGAGCUGUGCCCUUGAAUAAUGAAUCAGGACGUUUUUACAUUUGCCCCAUCAGAGGCAGUUGGAGGCUGGGAUUUCUGAGGUGAGUCAGGUGCCCAAAUCCCACCGAGAGAUGAUGGGAGCUAGGUGUACAGCUUCCUUUGGGCCCUUUAGAAACCCUGGCCUAGCUGUGUGGUUAGCUCGGAGACUCAGCUUUGUCAAUGUCACCUGAACUCCUAACAGUAGCGUCAGCCUCUCCACUCUCUCGUCCAGGCCUGUCCUCGGGUGGCCUCUAAAUGUACCCCUGGUGGUGAGGGUGGCCUCAUCCUCUGCCAGUCCUCCCUCCUGGAUGGGAGGGGUCUUGGACUCCCACUUCUGGGGCCAAAUGUUACAGGGUGACCCUGACGUGGGUGCCCUCCUGCAGCCGAGCUUGGCAGCUCAGGCGUGACCUGCCUCAGUUUCCCCCUCCAAAGACCUAUUGCAAAGACCUAGUGUCAACAGCAAAUUCAACCCUUUUAUUCAUAUAAAAAGCCACAGUCCACAGAUCCCUCAUGGUAAAAAGAAGUUCUCCCAUACCCCCAAAGGAGAACAAGGUGACAAGGCAGCAGCUUUUCAAUCCCAUUCCCAGGUCACCCACUCAAAAGUCAUUAAGCAUGUGGUCCCAGUUCCUUUAGCCCCACUCCCCUGGCCAUCUGCCUGAGAGCUCCCAGGCCUGCUUCUCUCCCAGGAACCUUCUCCUAUAUCCCCACAUCAGGUCUCCUGCAAGAGGCUCCCCCCAGUGUUUCACUGCCCAGGCCUCCUCAUCUGAGUCUCACCCCUGCUCCUGGGGACCUCUCUUCCGAGUCAACACCUUGCUUCUGGGCCCAGCUUAGGCUGACCACACUGGUUCUUCUUUGCAUUCCUAGGGGCCUCUGCACAAGCCUCCCUGCCACUCAGCAGGGCUCCCCAGCUCUAACCAGUCCUUCCAACAGCUUUCCCCCAAACUCACCCCCCAGCAGCUCACCGUGACAGCUCACCUUCAAUCUUCCAACAGCUCCUUUCCUUGGCAACCCCCGGGGCUCCUUCUGCCUUUCACCUGUUCCCAGGCACCUUUCCCUGGCACCCUCCUGUCUUCUAGGGCAAGCUGGGAGACAGCUGACCAGGCACAGCUGCACUUGCCUCCUUCCUCUUAAAGGGACCAGUCACAUUGUGACAAGGCCCUUCUCUUCCUUCAAGCCUCUCUCCUCGAACUUCUCCUUACCAGCUUACCUCCAGCUCAGACCCCUCCUUCAUCUCCAAGUUCUCUGACUGCCUCUCCUUGAUUGGCCUCUCCUCCAUCCUCAUCAUCACUGGGGGCUUCAUUGUCUUUGCUGAUGUGCUCCUUACCCCUUUCCCUCUGCCCUUUCCUCCCUAGGGCCCACACACUGGGUCCAUAGAAUUCAAUGGGAGUCAAUCUGAUUGGGAUUUAGCGCAUAUUCUGAUUCAGUCUGCCAUGCCCAUCCUGGCCAUUCCCUCAGGGAGCUCACUAUCAGCCAUUUCCACUCUAUCUUUAGCCUGCCUGUGAUCUCACCUGCACUGAUGGCUCCCUGGUGAUGUGCAAACAAAUGAAAUGUUUGAAAUGACCCUAUGGGGUGAAAAUGACCCCAUGGGGUAUCUUGCCCUGCUGUAAGGCUGUAUUUCAUCGCACUGGUUAGUCAGUGCACCCAGGGGCUUUGAGUGUAGGUCAGAUCAAAUCAACAGCAUGCCCCAGAGAAAGGACAUACCAAACAACACAGCUUAAAACAAUAGCUCAUUUCUGCUGGGCAAGUACAUUGCAGACUCUUCCCCCAUGCUCCUGAGCGGGUGCGAGACCCCUCAUUCCUUCCCUAUGUAAUCUGUGCCUGUCCUAGGAAGGGAGUUUAAUCUUACACACCUGGUGGAUCGUGGGGAAGACCCAGAAUUAAACCAAUCAAAUCAGCAACCCCACUGAGUCCCAGGCCCUGAAGCCGCCCCUUGCAAAGAAAUGUGCUGUAAUAAUGACUCCUAAAGAUACCUAACAAAGCCCUUUGCUAAAGAAGAGUUAAGGAUGAAAGUGUUUUCAGUGGAGUCCAGCUGACAUCCAAGCCACAAGAUGACCAUCUGGAAAUGAACAGGGAAGGGAUCUACUGGUUCCCAACUGCCAUACACUACUUCCUCAUUCAUCGUCACCCCCUCCUGAUUUACACUGCCCACCCAACCCGGACUGUGCCCCUUAGCUCCCACAGAAACCUUCCCCACUCAGCUCCUGAGCCAAACCCAGCUCAGCCAGACUCCAGAAUGGGGUGUUUGGGGUUUGGAAACAAGAUGAGCCAAGAAAAGGGCAAGGGCCAUUUUCAGAACACACCCAUGGGCAAGAUUCUCCACUGCCUUCCCCCUGGGGCCCUGCCUGUUCAAAGUGAUGCAACAUGCUACCAGUGCUUAUUGAUGCUUCAGCAGUGGCUAGAAGCCCCAGUUGAUGUCAAGACCCCAUUGUGCUAGUCCUGCACAGACACUGUCAGAGACGCUGCUGGCCGCGGGGAGCUUACAAUCUGCAUACAGAAGGUGGGGAAGUGAUUUCCCACGGUCACCCAGCAGGUCAGCGGCAGAGUUAGAUCCCAGGCAUCCUGACUCUCACUCCAGCACGCCGUGUGCUACACCAUGCUGUCCCAUGCUGACUUGAGAGUGUUUUACAUCUGCUUUACACAGGGGAAAGUGACUCUACCCGCUGAAAGGCAGGAGGGGAAAAGAUCAGCCCCCAAAUCUUUACCAUACCUUUUCUGAUUUUUGCCAGCUCAGCAGAAAAGCUCUCCCCUGGGUUGAUGUGUAGUGUGUGAAAUUUCAGAGAGAUCCUUCUUUCUUUUGUA